ensembl:snRNA U7 U7 small nuclear RNA
GAACAUUUGCUCUUUUGGUAUUUGUCAGGUAGGUUUCCUCAAGGAGAAAGCCCCC